GACGAAUGCUGGCGGCGUGCUUAACACAUGCAAGUCGUACGGUAAGGCCCUUUCGGGGGUACACGAGUGGCGAACGGGUGAGUAACACGUGAGUAACCUGCCCACAACUUUGGGAUAACGCUAGGAAACUGGUGCUAAUACUGGAUAUGUGCUCCUGCUGCAUGGUGGGGGUUGGAAAGCUCCGGCGGUUGUGGAUGGACUCGCGGCCUAUCAGCUUGUUGGUGGGGUAGUGGCCUACCAAGGCGGCGACGGGUAGCCGGCCUGAGAGGGUGACCGGCCACAUUGGGACUGAGAUACGGCCCAGACUCCUACGGGAGGCAGCAGUGGGGAAUAUUGCACAAUGGGCGCAAGCCUGAUGCAGCAACGCCGCGUGCGGGAUGACGGCCUUCGGGUUGUAAACCGCUUUCAGCAGGGACGAAGCUUUUUGUGACGGUACCUGCAGAAGAAGCACCGGCUAACUACGUG
rnacentral:rRNA from 1 species